rnacentral:ncRNA from 1 species
UGACCUCGGAUCAGUCGUGAUUACCCGCUGAACUUAAGCAUAUCACUAAACAGAGGAAAAUAAACUAACCUGGAUUCAUCUAGUAACGGCGAGUGAAUAGGAAAUAGCCCAGCACCAAAGCCUGUGGUAGGUUUACUGCUAGGCAAAGUGGUGUUUGGGUCAACUCGCGGGAUCACCACUCCACUCGAAGUCCAUCACUGAGUAUGGUUCCCUGGAUUUGGUUAAGAGAGGGUGAAAGGCCCGUGCGAGUGGAGGUUCAGACAUGUGAGGCAAUUCACCAGGUCGACCUUCGAGUCGGGUUGUUUGGGAAUGCAGCCCAAAGUGGGUGGUAAACUCCAUCCGAUAGCGAACAAGUACCGUGAAUGGCAUCCAAAGGCAUGCAGACGAGCUAACGGACCCUACUGGUGAAGAGCACUGCCUGACACUCGCCUACACCUGCGGGUAUUUCACCACAGAAAUGGUUUAAAGGUGACACCACUGCCACGCCAAGUCGAGCAAAACCAUACCUUCACCUACACCAACACCGACAAAAUCUGCCGAGAACUGGCAGGCGACAGUGAUACCGAGAUCCAACUACGAGCUUUUUAACUGCAGCAACUUAAAUAUAC